UGCUGUGAUGGUGUAAUUUGCGUCUUACUCUGCACACAGCGACAGUUGCCUGCUGUCAUGAGCUGGUGCAGAAGGUUGAUGAAGACAAAUUCUGAGCA